rnacentral:rRNA from 1 species
UACGUAGGGGGCAAGCGUUGUCCGGAUUCAUUGGGCGUAAAGAGCGUGUAGGCGGCCAGGUAGGUCGGUUGUGAAAACUGGAGGCUCAACCUUCAGAGGUCGACCGAAACCAUCUGGCUAGAGUCCGGGAGAGGAGAGUGGAAUUCCUGGUAUAGCGGUGAAAUGCGCAGAUAUCAGGAAGAACACCCGUGGCGAAAGCGGCUCUCUGGAACGGUACUGACGCUGAGACGCGAAAGCGUGGGGAGCGAACAGG